rnacentral:misc_RNA from 1 species
AACGAGGCCGACCUGCGGCUGAGUUACCUGCGGAAGGAUCAUUAGAGAUUUUGACCUCGCAAGAGGUCUACAAAAAUCACUAUACACCGUGAACUGUGGCUUCGGCCGUUUUUUACAAACUUUUGUGUAAUGAAUGUAUUACUAUAAAACAAAACAAAACUUUCAGCAACGGAUCU